UUUCUGAUUACUUAAGUCUGGAGAGGCAGAAUCCCCAAAUGCAUUCUCUACCCUACUAGUCCAGAUUGCUAUCCCAAAUAUAACAAUGAAGAGCAAAGCAGUCACAUGAAACCAGCUCAGCUGGUUGUGUUCUCACCUGCUUAUUCCAAAUAUAUAGAAGUGCAGAUACAGUGAGGCACAGCACACUUGGGAUUACAAUAAAAUGGUGUUAGAUUGCAAGCAAAAUAGUAGGAAAGAUGGGAAAGUGAGAAAGAUGGCUUUUUCAUUGUUUUUCUUUUUUUCUUUUUUUUUUUUUUUAAGUGCUAGGUCUAUAUUUGUUUCCACACUUACAAAAUUAUUUGAGUACAUUUUUUUGUUGUUGUUGUUGGUUGGUUUUAUUUUUAAACCAAGAAGUGCUAUCAGUACAGGUAGCAGAGUGGAUGCUGCUAUAUUACCAUAACAGUUCUACCACAAUAAUCAAAUGUGAAUAAGCUAUACCAGUAGAAAUGUUUUUAUGCCAGUUCACCUACAGCCACUCUAGAACUUGUACCUUUUUUAACCUUGCAAAGUUCAAGAUGACAUAGUUAAAGUAGUGCAAACAUCACAUGUAAACAAACCUCUUAAAGUCUGUAGGUGAAAUUAUGACUCACCAACUUCAGUUUGACCAAGUAUUCACCCAGCUGUGCUGUUUUCCCAUUCAUCAGGUAGGAUUAACAGUGUUUACUUACCUCAUAUCAGUGCAGGGAAGAUUAAUUAUUGUCUGUAUGUUUUCAAUCAUUUGAGGAUGAAAAGUGCUACUAAACUACUAACCACCCACCACAAAGGAAGCUGUAAUGACCUACAGAACAAGCCAUUGGCUGCUUAUUUGAAAACCGAAGUAAGAGAAAAGCAAGAUUUGUGUCAAAUAGAUCCUUUUCAAAGCAUUCAAAUAGAUCCUUUUCAAAGCGUCAUCUUUGUGGAUGAAAAAAAAAUAAAGACGAGCACAAGCAAGUGUAUUUCCAUUACCCAAGCAUCUUUACAGCUGAACUGGAUAUUCACUAAGGCUUCAUGUCUGGAAGAAGACCUGUUUACCCCUUAACAUUAUGCGAAAGGACCUUGUGACUUCGCGUUUCCACUUCUGUUUGUUUUGUUAUUUUGUUGCUGUUGCUACAUAAUGUUCAUUCUUAUUAAAUAUCCAAAGUUUUAUUUUUGAAAGACUAAAACAUAGAAGAAAGAAAUCCCCUUAACAUGGCUGAUUACUUAUCUAAAAAAAAUAAAAUAAAAUAUGGGCAAGCA
rnacentral:lncRNA from 1 species